AGACACAGUGUGGCCUGGAUUAUGUGGAGAAAUACUUGGAAACUUUGGUGGCUCAGAAAUCUAACUAUACUUGCAUCAACAUGGAUCUCAAAUGAUACUGAACUUAAAGAGUUGGUUUUUGUGGAGUCCAUAUCAAAACAGCAAAUUCGCUAUUUUGCUUCAAGUCACUAUUUCUUUUUCCAAUUUAAUACGAUUUACUAUUUGAUUCAAUUUUCAAUUCUA
rnacentral:misc_RNA from 1 species